rnacentral:tRNA from 1 species
GGAUUGUAGCUCAGUGGAAGAGCACUUGCCUAGCAUGUGUGAGGCACUGGGUUCGAUACUCAGCACCA